rnacentral:lncRNA from 1 species
AAUCCUGGGCAGUGAAUUGAAGCUGAUUUGAUUGCCUUGCAGAGCAAUGUCAUUCACUACUUCCGUUAAGGUCAAGGACAGAUCCCAUAUCGUCUUUCUGACCGGAUGACACCCAUCAUAUGGAUAAUUUCCCAGAGGGAGGGGGUCACCAAGGACAGCCUCUUCCAAGGAUUAUGGUUUGAACAAUUUCUGAACUACUAUCUCUGAUCCUGAACUUCCAUAUCUGCAAGAUGAAAACCAGAAAGUCAUACUGGGAAGUUAUUGUUAGAAUUGAUAAGAAGUUUUCAUGAUAAUUACAAGUGCUUGUUUUCCUUUCCAUUCUAUUAAAUGUAU